rnacentral:rRNA from 1 species
CUUGCUCCUCUGACGUUAGCGGCGGACGGGUGAGUAACACGUGGAUAACCUACCUAUAAGACUGGGAUAACUUCGGGAAACCGGAGCUAAUACCGGAUAAYAUGUUGAACCGCAUGGUUCAACAGUGAAAGACGGUCUUGCUGUCACUUAUAGAUGGAUCCGCGCCGCAUUAGCUAGUUGGUAAGGUAACGGCUUACCAAGGCAACGAUGCGUAGCCGACCUGAGAGGGUGAUCGGCCACACUGGAACUGAGACACGGUCCAGACUCCUACGGGAGGCAGCAGUAGGGAAUCUUCCGCAAUGGGCGAAAGCCUGACGGAGCAACGCCGCGUGAGUGAAGAAGGUCUUCGGAUCGUAAAACUCUGUUAUUAGGGAAGAACAAAUGUGUAAGUAACUAUGCACGUCUUGACGGUACCUAAUCAGAAAGCCACGGCUAACUACGUGCCAGCAGCCGCGGUAAUACGUAGGUGGCAAGCGUUAUCCGGAAUUAUUGGGCGUAAAGCGCGCGUAGGCGGUUUUUUAAGUCUGAUGUGAAAGCCCACGGCUCAACCGUGGAGGGUCAUUGGAAACUGGAAAACUUGAGUGCAGAAGA